UUAAACCCGAAUUCCUUAUUUUACAGAACUUUAUAGGUUUAAAUUAAAGCUCGCUCAUUUGUUAGUUUUGAACAACACGAUUGUUCCAUCCAGUUCUGUUUGAUGGUGAUUCUCUUUUUAGGGAGUCGAGGGUAGAGGCCAUCAGUACCGGGGUAGAGAGAAUGAAGGAGAGGAUGAAGAUGAAGGGGAGAAGAAGCCAGGCUCCAAGUUCUCCGAUCUAAUGAAAGGGAAUGUUCAGAUAAAAGAAUGAGAAAACGAGAAGAUUUAAAUUUGUUCAGAAAAUGCCGAAAGUAUAAUAUAAGUAAGGAUGUUUUAUACAAAUGGCUGCCUAACCUUAGUCAUUCUUUUUAUAAAAUACAUUUAUGUUUUAAUAUUA